rnacentral:rRNA from 1 species
UUGAAAGGGAAACGAUUGAAGUCAGUCGUACCAGCGGGAAAUCAACCUUUCGAGUGGGGUUUUGGAGUUUUGAAGAGUGUCAAAACCUUUUGAGAUUUCAAAAUAUUCGCUCUUUUGGUGUACUUUCUCGUGGGUAGGUUAACAUCGAUUUUGAUCAUCAUAAAAAGAUUGGAGGAAUGUAGCUUCGAUCUUGUAUUGAAGUGUUAUAGCCUUUGGUAAAUGUGAUGAUUAGGAUCGAGGAUUGCAACGAAUACCCUUUUGGGCUAUCCGCCUGAUCUCUGAUACGUGGCCUUGGUAUCGAAAGCGUGCUUAUGGUAUUGAGGUAUUACGGUCAAAAGGUUAGAACGGAUUACAUUCGUUAAGGAUGUUGACGUA